GACGAACGCUGGCGGCGUGCCUAAUACAUGCAAGUUGAGCGCUGAAGGUUGGUACUUGUACCGACUGGAUGAGCAGCGAACGGGUGAGUAACGCGUGGGGAAUCUGCCUUUGAGCGGGGGACAACAUUUGGAAACGAAUGCUAAUACCGCAUAAAAACUUUAAACACAAGUUUUAAGUUUGAAAGAUGCAAUUGCAUCACUCAAAGAUGAUCCCGCGUUGUAUUAGCUAGUUGGUGAGGUAAAGGCUCACCAAGGCGAUGAUACAUAGCCGACCUGAGAGGGUGGUCGGCCACAUUUGGACGGAGACACGCCCCAAACGCCUACGGGAGGCAGCAGUAGGGAAUCUUCGGCAAUGGGCGGAAGUCUGACCGAGCAACGCCGCGUGAGUGAAGAAGGAUGUCGGAUCGUAAAACUCUGUUGGUAGGUAAGAACGUUGGUGAGAGUGGAAAGCUCAUCAAGUGACGGUAACUACCCAGAAAGGGACGGCUAACUACGUG
rnacentral:rRNA from 1 species